rnacentral:rRNA from 1 species
GAACGAGUUCUCGUUGAUGAUCGGUGCUUGCACCGAGAUUCAACAUGGAACGAGUGGCGGACGGGUGAGUAACACGUGGGUAACCUGCCCUUAAGUGGGGGAUAACAUUUGGAAACGGAUGCUAAUACCGCAUAGAUCCAAGAACCGCAUGGUUCUUGGCUGAAAGAUGGCGUAAGCUAUCGCUUUUGGAUGGACCCGCGGCGUAUUAGCUAGUUGGUGAGGUAAUGGCUCACCAAGGCGAUGAUACGUAGCCGAACUGAGAGGUUGAUCGGCCACAUUGGGACUGAGACACGGCCCAAACUCCUACGGGAGGCAGCAGUAGGGAAUCUUCCACAAUGGGCGCAAGUCUGAUGGAGCAACGCCGCGUGAGUGAAGAAGGCUUUCGGGUCGUAAAACUCUGUUGUUGGAGAAGAAUGGUCGGCAGAGUAACUGUUGUCGGCGUGACGGUAUCCAACCAGAAAGCCACGGCUAACUACGUGCCAGCAGCCGCGGUAAUACGUAGGUGGCAAGCGUUAUCCGGAUUUAUUGGGCGUAAAGCGAGCGCAGGCGGUUUUUUAAGUCUGAUGUGAAAGCCCUCGGCUUAACCGAGGAAGCGCAUCGGAAACUGGGAAACUUGAGUGCAGAAGAGGGCAGUGGAACUCCAUGUGUAGCGGUGAAAUGCGUAGAUAUACGGAAGAACACCAGUGGCGAAGGCGGCUGUCUGGUCUGUAACUGACGCUGAGGCUCGAAAGCAUGGGUAGCGAACAGGAUUAGAUACCCUGGUAGUCCAUGCCGUACACGAUGAAUGCUAGGUGUUGGAGGGUUUCCGCCCUUCAGUGC